rnacentral:lncRNA from 1 species
UCGUGUGAGAUCAGCUAGUUGGUCCUAAAGAGCAGCACUGGGGUUGCAGAGCAGAUGAGCGUUCUCAGAUCUCUCCCCUGUGUUCCCAGCAGUACUAACCCAUUUGGCAGUAAGAUCAGCACCACUGCAUUUGUGCAAGGCCCCAAGGCAGUGAGGCACGGACAUAUCUGAGGCACCUGAGAGCUCUUCAGCUUUUGGUACAGGCGCUCCUUCACCAACUGCCUAUCUCAUGAGAGGCUGCAAAACCUGCUGCAAAACAAGGCAACUGAACUUCAUCUAAGCUCCAAGAUGCCGCGGUACUGCAGGUACUGAGGCCUGACGGUUUAGAGCUGCUCAGUAUCUGUCUCAAGCAUAGUAUUGCAGAGCUCUCAACUGCUGAUGAAGUCAGUACUGCAUUUAAUCCCUCAGCACACUGCUUGUCAGGCCAAUUUCUGAUCAAAGCCUUGCUUGCCACUGCAGACAUAAUUGCAACCCUCUGCAACUCUCGACAGUUUGAGAAAGGGACUUAGUGUGAAUGUCAAAGGAAGGAACGACUGGACUUAGGCAACACCAAGCCUUCUGAAGUAAGAAAAUUAAA